rnacentral:rRNA from 1 species
CACGUAGGGCGCGAGCGUUGUCCGGAAUUAUUGGGCGUAAAGAGCUCGUAGGCGGCCUGUUGCGUCCGCUGUGAAAGCCCGGGGCUUAACCCCGGGUCGGCAGUGGAUACGGGCAGGCUAGAGGUAGGUAGGGGAGAAUGGAAUUCCCGGUGUAGCGGUGAAAUGCGUAGAUAUCGGAAGGAACACCAGUGGCGAAGGCGGCUACCUGGAAUGAUACUGACACUGAGGCGCGAGAGCGUGGGGAGCAAACAGG